UCUUCAAAGAGGCAGGCACAGAGAAACUCUAGAAGCCAACCUCACGAUAACUGAAACAUGGGCUUUAUGGCCGGUAAAAGACAUCUAAAUAAGUACUUAUGAUCGUAAUAAAUGCUGCCGAAGAGACAGAGUGUUCAGAGGACUUACACUAGAGACACUGCUCGAGAAGAAGAGAUGAGGAUGGUUCUGGAGGAGUGACAUCUGAACUCCUUUUAGUGGAUCUCCUUCCCUGCAGACACCCCGAUGGCUCCAGCGUGGAUCUCUGCGAUCCACAGAGAACAUUUCCAGUUCCAAGAAGGAAAUAUUGAAGCCUCACUAUCCCAGACAGUGAGUGGGAUGGACAGGAAAGAGUUGGAUACAAGAUGGUGGGAGAGAGUGUGUCUGAGGAAGCUGGGGCAGGGGAUGGAGGAAGCGAAGGAGGAAGUGCUUGGCGUUUGUGGCCAAAGAGCCCGGGGAGGGAGGACGUUCCAGGCAGAUGGUAGCAGCACACUCAAAGACAGGAGGACACAAGACACCAGUGGUGGUGUGAGGGAACCUAUAGGCGGCUUGGGAUUGUUGAAACAUGAAUGUCAAGG